rnacentral:rRNA from 1 species
UACGUAGGGUCCGAGCGUUGUCCGGAGUUACUGGGCGUAAAGGGCGCGCAGGCGGCGGUUGCCGGCCCGGCGUGAAAGCCCCCGGCUCAACCGGGGAGAGUCGUCGGGGACCGCACCGCUUGAGGGCGGUAGGGGCUGGUGGAAUGCCGGGUGUAGUGGUGAAAUGCGUAGAGAUCCGGCAGAACACCUGGGGCGAAGGCGGCCAGCUGGGCCGACCCUGACGCUGAGGCGCGAAGGCGUGGGGAGCGAACGGG